CGGACAGUGUCUGGUGGGUAGUUUGACUGGGGCGGUCUCCUCCUAAAGAGUAACGGAGGAGCACGAAGGUUGGCUAAUCCUGGUCGGACAUCAGGAGGUUAGUGCAAUGGCAUAAGCCAGCUUGACUGCGAGCGUGACGGCGCGAGCAGGUGCGAAAGCAGGUCAUAGUGAUCCGGUGGUUCUGAAUGGAAGGGCCAUCGCUCAACGGAUAAAAGGUACUCCGGGGAUAACAGGCUGAUACCGCCCAAGAGUUCAUAUCGACGGCGGUGUUUGGCACCUCGAUGUCGGCUCAUCACAUCCUGGGGCUGAAGUAGGUCCCAAGGGUAUGGCUGUUCGCCAUUUAAAGUGGUACGCGAGCUGGGUUUAGAACGUCGUGAGACAGUUCGGUCCCUAUCUGCCGUGGGCGCUGGAGAACUGAGGGGGGCUGCUCCUAGUACGAGAGGACCGGAGUGGACGCAUCACUGGUGUUCGGGUUGUCAUGCCAAUGGCACUGCCCGGUAGCUAAAUGCGGAAGAGAUAAGUGCUGAAAGCAUCUAAGCACGAAACUUGCCCCGAGAUGAGUUCUCCCUG
rnacentral:rRNA from 1 species